AUGACAUUAAACAGCAUGUGUGAGGAUGUGUACCGUGUUGUCAAAGCUUUUGCUACGAGAGGAGAGUGGGUGAAUGCUGAAGCAAAGCACUAUACUCAAGCCCUGUGACAGAUGAGAGACUUUAAACGUAAUGGGUUGAAUCUUACUUUAACUAAGAGAGAGUAGAUGCAGCGUGUGAGAGUCCAAAUUGAUGAGCUAAGCUUGUGCUAUACCCAAAAUCUACAAGAGGAUUGUUCUUUCCUUGUCUUCACUGAGACUGAGUUGGCUGGGGUACCACAAGAGUUUCU
rnacentral:lncRNA from 1 species